UACAGAGGGUGCGAGCGUUUAAUCGGAAUUACUGGGCGUAAAGCGUGCGUAGACGGUCAAGUAAGUCGGGUGUGAAAGCCCCGGGCUUAACCUGGGAACUGCAUUUGAUACUACUGAGCUUGAGUACGGGAGAGGAUAGUGGAAUUCCCGAGUGAUAGAGGUGAAAUUCGUAGAUAUUGGGAAGAACACCGGUGGCGAAGGCGGCUAUCUGGACCGUAACUGACGCUGAGGCGCGAAAGCGUGGGGGAGCAAACAGG
rnacentral:rRNA from 1 species